GAUGAACGCUGACAGAAUGCUUAACACAUGCAAGUCAACUUGAACUUCGGUUUGGGUGGCGGACGGGUGAGUAACGCGUAAAGAACUUGCCUCACAGAUAGGGACAACAUUUGGAAACGAAUGCUAAUACCUGAUAUUAUGAUUUUAGGGCAUCCUAGAAUUAUGAAAGCUAUAUGCGCUGUGAGAGAGCUUUGCGUCCCAUUAGCUAGUUGGAGAGGUAACGGCUCACCAAGGCGAUGAUGGGUAGCCGGCCUGAGAGGGUGAUCGGCCACAAGGGGACUGAGACACGGCCCUUACUCCUACGGGAGGCAGCAGUGGGGAAUAUUGGACAAUGGACCAAGAGUCUGAUCCAGCAAUUCUGUGUGCACGAUGAAGUUUUUCGGAAUGUAAAGUGCUUUCAGUUGGGAAGAAAAAAAUGACGGUACCAACAGAAGAAGUGACGGCUAAAUACGUGCCAGCAGCCGCGGUAAUACGUAUGUCACAAGCGUUAUCCGGAUUUAUUGGGCGUAAAGCGCGUCUAGGUGGUUAUAUAAGUCUGAUGUGAAAAUGCAGGGCUCAACUCUGUAUUGCGUUGGAAACUGUGUAACUAGAGUACUGGAGAGGUAAGCGGAACUACAAGUGUAUAGGUGAAAUUUCGUAGAUAUUUGUAUGAAUGUCGAUGGGGAAGUCAGCUUACUGGACAGAUCUGACGCUUAAGCGCAAAAGA
rnacentral:rRNA from 1 species